rnacentral:misc_RNA from 1 species
AAGAAGAAGAAGAAGAAGAAGAGUAGUGUUGUUGCAGUUGUUGAGCGAUCUUCCGGUAAGCCUCUUUCUCAAGGGAAUCGAGUUGUUCUGCGCUUAAACCCCAGUCGUCAUCGUCGAAGUCCAUUCUUUUUGUUUCUUUGGAGCGCUCUUUCCUGCCAAUCUUGUUUCAAUUUUUCAAGUUGCAAUUGACCAUUUGUCGGGUUUCGUUGUAGGCGAUUUCCAAUGGAUGAAGAGAGGUUUUAGGGCUUUAAAAAGUUUAAUCGAAGCUAAACGAGUUCCCAGUUGUCCUUGGGAGCCCCAAAUUUUGUUUCUUUAUUUCCUGCCAAUGCCAUCACCAUUCACCUGCUCUUGCAGUUUCUCUGUAAAACUCGCAACGAAGUAAAAG